rnacentral:rRNA from 1 species
AGCAGCCGCGGUAAUUCCAGCUCCAAUAGCGUAUAUUAAAGUUGUUGCAGUUAAAAAGCUCGUAGUUGAAUUUCGGGAUUGGCGCAUCGGUCGUGCCUCACGGGGUAUGAACUGGUGCAGUCAAUUUCUCACCUUCUGGAGAACCGCAAUGUCCUUAAUUGGAUGCCGCGGGGAACCAGGACCUUUACUUUGAAAAAUUAGAGUGUUUAAAGCAGGCAUUUUUGCUUGAAUACAUUAGCAUGGAAUAAUAAAAUAGGACGGCAUGGUUCUAUUUUGUUGGUUUCUAGGGACCACCGUAAUGAUUAAUAGGGAUAGUUGGGGGCAUUAGUAUUCAAUUGUCAGAGGUGAAAUUCUUGGAUUUAUUGAAGACUAACUACUGCGAAAGCAUUUGCCAAGGAUGUUUUCAUUAAUCAAGAACGAAAGUUAGGGGAUCGAAGACGAUCAGAUACC